rnacentral:rRNA from 1 species
UACGAAGGGGGCUAGCGUUGCUCGGAAUCACUGGGCGUAAAGCGCACGUAGGCGGGUCGUUAAGUCGGGGGUGAAAUCCUGGAGCUCAACUCCAGAACUGCCUUUGAUACUGAAGAUCUUGAGUUCGGGAGAGGUGAGUGGAACUGCGAGUGUAGAGGUGAAAUUCGUAGAUAUUCGCAAGAACACCAGUGGCGAAGGCGGCUCACUGGCCCGAUACUGACGCUGAGGCAUGAAAGCGUGGGGAGCAAACAGG